rnacentral:sRNA from 1 species
GCUAGGUGGGGGUGCAGGCCUGUAAUCCCAGCUACUCAGGAAGCUAAGGCAGGAGGAUGGUGAGUUCUAGGCUAGCCUGGGCAAUUUCAUGAGAUCCUGUCUCAA